GGGACAGAGGCCUGGCUAUCAGCUGCAGCAGACAGACUGAAAAGCAACUGACUCAUAUAUUCACUAAAAUAGAAGACAAGAUGGGGCAUUUUUUUUGCAGAAACAGAACCUAUGUUAAAAUGUCAAAUGGAUAUUAGAAAGCCAACACUGACCUUAAUUAAUAAAUAGAUUAACAGAUUGGAUAGCAGAGGAGAGGCAAAGGCAGAGAGAGCAACAAGGCUGGAAAAUGACAGAAAAGAGCACGAGAUACUGGCACAUGACAUAAAGACCACAUAGAUGAGAGGGGUGCAUUGCUCAAAGAGAUGAUGGCGGAGAAUUUCCCCCAGAUAAAAACAAAUAAUAAUCAAAGGCAAAGACUCAAGAACUGUUAGAAAUCUCAGCAGGAUAAAUGCAAAUAGAGCCAGGCAUAGGCAUGCCCCAGUCAGAAGCUAAAACCCAAAGACAAGGAGAAGCUUGGAA
rnacentral:lncRNA from 1 species